rnacentral:rRNA from 1 species
UUAUGGCGUCAGGAUGAACGCUAGCUACAGGCUUAACACAUGCAAGUCGAGGGGCAGCAUGAAGUCAGCUUGCUGACUUGAUGGCGACCGGCGAAUGGGUGAGUAACGCGUAUCCAACCUGGCCUGUGCUCAUGGAUAGCCCUUAGAAAUGAGGAUUAAUACAUGAUGGUCUCCUUUGAUCGCCUGAGAUUAGGAGUAAAGGCUUGCCGGCACAGGAUGGGGAUGCGUUCCAUUAGAUAGUUGGCGGGGUAACGGCCCACCAAGUCUAUGAUGGAUAGGGGUUCUGAGAGGAAGGUCCCCCCACAUUGGUACUGAGACACGGACCAAACUCCUACGGGAGGCAGCAGUGAGGAAUAUUGGUCAAGUGGGCGGAAGCCUGAACCAGCCCAAGUAGCGUGAAGGAAGACGGCCCUACGGGUUGUAAACUUCUUUUGUCGGGGACUAACCGCGGGCACGUGUGCCCGCCUGCAUGUACCCGGUGAAUAAGGACCGGCUAAUUCCGUGCCAGCAGCCGC